UACGGAAGGCAGCAGUGGGGAAUAUUGCACAAUGGGCGCAAGCCUGAUGCAGCCAUGCCGCGUGUAUGAAGAAGGCCUUCGGGUUGUAAAGUACUUUCAGUCGUGAGGAAGGUGUUAAGGUUAAUAACCUUAGCAAUUGACGUUAGCGACAGAAGAAGCACCGGCUAACUCCGUGCCAGCAGCCGCGGUAAUACGGAGGGUGCGAGCGUUAAUCGGAAUUACUGGGCGUAAAGGGCACGCAGGCGGUUAAUUAAGUUGGAUGUGAAAUCCCCGGGCUUAACCUGGGAAUGGCAUUCAAGCUGGUUAGCUAGAGUCUUGUAGAGGGGGUAGAAUUCCAUGUGUAGCGGUGAAAUGCGUAGAGAUGUGGAGGAAUACCGGUGGCGAAGGCGGCCCCUGGACAAAGGCUGACGCUCGAUGUGCGAAAGCGUGGGGAGCGAAAC
rnacentral:rRNA from 1 species